rnacentral:rRNA from 1 species
GCUUGUCUCAAAGAUUAAGCCAUGCAUGUCUUAGUGUAAAUAACUCUUAUGAAACUGCGAAUGGCUCAUUAAAUCAGUUAUCAAAUACGUGAUGGUCGCCUACUACAUGGAUAACCGUAGUAAUUCUAGAGCUAAUACAUGCUUACGAGCCCGACUUACGAAGGGCUGUAUUUAUUAGAUUUCAAUCAACAUUUUUUGCUGACUCAUGAUAACUUAGCGGAUCGCAGAGGCCUUGUGCCGGCGACAAAUCAUUCAAGUUUCUGCCCUAUCAGCUUUCGAUGGUAGUGUAUUGGACUACCAUGGCAUUAACGGGUAACGGAGGAUUAGGGUUCGAUUCCGGAGAGGGAGCCUGAGAAAUGGCUACCACAUCCAAGGAAGGCAGCAGG